rnacentral:rRNA from 1 species
GACGGAAGGGGCAAGCGUUGUUCGGAAUCAUUGGGCGUAAAGGGCGCGCAGGUGGCUCUGUAUGUCUGCCGUGAAAGCAUACAGCUCAACUGUAUUGUGUCGGUAGAAACUGCAGGACUUGAGGCUGGGAGGGGCUGGUGGAAUUCCCUGUGUAGCGGUGAAAUGCGUAGAGAUGGGGGAGAACACUCGUGGCGAAGGCGGCCAGCUAGACCAGUUCUGACACUGAGGCGCGACAGCGUGGGGAGCAAACAGG